rnacentral:lncRNA from 1 species
AUCGCUGAAGGAAAGAUGCUCUGUUCAUGGAAGCAGCAAGUUCUGUGAAGCUCGUUCUGGAGAAGAGAAGGGGGAAAAGGAAGAAACCUGAAAAGAGAUGGUAGAAACUGGCUGCUGUGUAACCAUGGGAAACCCUGCAUGAGAAAUGCACUCGCUCACUGCUCUGUAACAUUAUACCCUGAUACUACUAACAUCCUGUGGAAAAAACUACCAUAAUCCAGGUUUGUCCUGUAACACGCCAUGUGCCGCGCUCUGUAACAUUUUCGGCGGAUAAAUAGUGAUCUUGUCCUGGAUUGUCUCCUAUUUACCAUUUCUUGUUGCUGGUUAAUCUGUUUUCCUGGGUGUGCUGAUUUGCUGCAAGUGAGUGGCGGCUGAUAUGGACAGACCACACGUGCACUCUAUUUUUAGGCUGGUUAUGGUUAUUUCUGUCUGAGAGGAACCAGGAUCAGGCUAUGGUUUUCAGUUUUGGCAUGUUUCCUCUGUCUGAAAAUAGCUGAGCUUCCUUUCACAUUUCUGGGGGGUGGAUCCUCCCCCUACUGUUCUGGAAUAGCACUGUUACCAUCUUGAGCCCAGACACCAAUGGAAGAAUGUGUCAUCUAUGAAUGUAUGUGGUAGUUGCUAGAUCAGUAGGAACAAAAAUGCAUUACAGCGACAUGCCAUGUGCACUAUUUUGUCCUGCGGUCCGAAAUAGCGACGCCCCGUUUGGAACACAUGAAUUUUGUGGCAAAAAAAAAAAA